GAUGAAGAACGUAGCGAAAUGCGAUACUUGGUGUGAAUCGCAGAAUCCCGUGAACCAUCGAGUCUUUGAACGCAAGUUGCGCCCGAAGCCUCGGCUAAGGGCACGUCUGCCUGGGCGUCACGCAUCGCGUCUCCCCCAAACCGCCAAGGCGGAGGGGAAGGAAGAUGGCUUCCCGUGCCUCACCCGGGCGCGGUUGGCCUAAAUUUGGAGCCCGCGGCACUUAGCUCUCGCGGCGAUAGGUGGUGAACAAGGCCUUGGCCGUGCAAACAACCCGCUGCGAAGCUCUAUGUCACGUGCGCUCGUCGGACCCUUUGAAGUUGCCUUUGGUGACUUAAAACCUUUGCGACCCCAGGUCAGGCGGGGCUACCUGCUGAAUUUAAGCAUAUCAAUAAGCGGAGGA
rnacentral:misc_RNA from 1 species